ACCGUUUUGCAAACUGAUAAGUCCUGUUCUGUCUGUGUUCAGGCUCUCUAAAGAGGCUCUUCAGCAGCUGGUUUCAGUGGUGUAUGAAGCACAGGAUGAUGAACUGACACGCUGCUUUCUGAAGAAAGUGUCUGAGGAUCUGACUUCCUGCUCACUGACCUGGGAAGUCAUUCAUUACCUGCUGCAACAUCAAGCUCUAAAUUUGAAGUUGGACUUUAGAAAGAGUAAAACCUCUUGUGAAAACAUCAGAGAACUUCUGCCGGUGUUAGACAGAAUCCAGCUGAAACGGUUGAGCCCCAGCUUUACUCUGUCCAUCAUUAUGGAGAUUUAUGAAACUCGCUUUCCUCAGUAUGUGUCCAGUCUGAUGAGUUCAGCAGGAAAUGACAUCAACCUGAAUGCCAGAGUGUUGGACUCUGUUCACUGCGCUGCCCUGCGCUUCACUCUAGAGCACUGCAACACUGUCAAACUCAAUCUGCUCUGGACCUCCAUACCAGAGGAGCAGCUAGAGAGCUUUCUGCCUUUACUCAGCAGAGUCAAACAACUCAGGUUUACUGAUAUAACAGCACUGAUAUCAUAUUAAACAUGACUGUUCUGUUGUGUAUGUUUGUUAACAGUAUCUGUGUGUGUUAGUGUUGACAGGCUGCUGUUGCUGAAGCUGCUUCAUUGCUGCAGUUCCUCUGAUCUCCAGCAGGAGGCCGCAGAUGUUCUUCUCGCUGCUCUUCACAACACGCUGGACUUCUCCUGCUGCUCUGCUCUGGAUUUAACAGACACACAGGAAAACCAAGAGCAUUUGAAACUAACUGAAAAAGACUGUAGAAUAAUCUCAUCCGUGCUUCAGAAAACUCAAAGCAUUGUGAAGUUGAUCUUACAGGACUGUGAGCUCUCCGAUACGGCCCUGAAACAACUUUGGCCAAUCCUGCCUCAAGUGCAGCUGAACUGUAGUAAAGCUCUGCUGCUGCAGUUUCUGGCUUGUAUUAGUAAAGAUGGAUCUCAGAGAGGCUCUUUGAGGAGCGCUGAGGCUCUUUCACAGGCUUUGGGAGGAGAGAUGGACCUCAGUCACACUCAGAUGGACCCGAGAGUUUGUGAACAACUGGCGCUGUUUCUGGAAUAUUCUGAAGGACUGACAGAACUGGAUCUCAGUCACUGCAAACUCACUGAUCUCUGCAUGGAGCCGCUGCUGCCACAUCUGCACAAAACCCAGACUCUGGAUCUGAGUCACAAUAAUAUCACAGAUGAAUCAGCAAAGAGAGUCCACAGUGUCGUCUGCACUCACAGCAAUAUUCAGACUGUACGGUAAGUGUGUGU
rnacentral:lncRNA from 1 species